GACGAACGCUGGCGGCGUGCCUAAUACAUGCAAGUUGAGCGAUGAAGAUUGGUGCUUGCCCCAAUUUGAAGAGCAGCGAACGGGUGAGUAACGCGUGGGGAAUCUGCCUUUGAGCGGGGGACAACAUUUGGAAACGAAUGCUAAUACCGCAUAACAACUUUAAACAUAAGUUUUAAGUUUGAAAGAUGCAAUUGCAUCACUCAAAGAUGAUCCCGCGUUGUAUUAGCUAGUUGGUGAGGUAAAGGCUCACCAAGGCGAUGAUACAUAGCCGACCUGAGAGGGUGAUCGGCCACAUUGGGACUGAGACACGGCCCAAACUCCUACGGGAGGCAGCAGUAGGGAAUCUUCGGCAAUGGACGAAAGUCUGACCGAGCAACGCCGCGUGAGUGAAGAAGGGUUUCGGAUCGUAAAACUCUGUUGGUAGAGAAGAACGUUGGUGAGAGUGGAAAGCUCAUCAAGUGACGGUAACUACCCAGAAGGGGACGGCUAACUACGUG
rnacentral:rRNA from 1 species